UGCAGAAGGAACUUGACAACUGGUGAUC
rnacentral:piRNA from 1 species